AGAGUUUGAUCAUGGCUCAGGAUGAACGUUGGCGGCGUGGAUAAGGCAUGCAAGUCGCAUGGGUCUAGACCCAUGGCAAACGGGCUAGUAACGCGUAGGAAUCUACCUCAAAGCCGUGAAUAAUUUGGAGAAAUCCAAGCUAAUACACGAUAAGCUCUACGGAGUAAAGGUUUACCACUUUGAGAGGAGCCUGCGUCCUAUCAGCUUGUUGGUGAGGUAAUGGCUCACCAAGGCUAUGACGGGUAGGGGGCGUGAGAGCGUGAUCCCCAGCAUUGGCACUGAAACACUGGCCAAACACCUACGGGUGGCUGCAGUCGAGAAUAUUCCACAAUGGACGAAAGUCUGAUGGAGCGACGCCGCGUGCGGGAUGAAGGUAUUCGUAUCGUAAACCGCUUUUAUCUAGGAAGAAUUUCGAUGACGGUACUAGAUGAAUAAGAGGUUACUAACUCUGUGCCAGCAGUAGCGGUAAUACAGAGACCUCAAACGUUAUCCGGAUUUAUUGGGCGUAAAGCGUGUGUAGGCGGAUAUAUUAGUCGAAUGUUAAAUUAUCGGGCUCAACCCGGUAACCGCGUUCGAAACGGUAUAUCUAGAGAAGGUGAGGGAUUAAUGGAACUCAUGGUGUAGUAGUGAAAUGCGUUGAUAUCAUGAGGAACACCAAAGGCGAAGGCAUUUAAUUGGCACCUUUCUGACGC
rnacentral:rRNA from 1 species